CCAUCCUACGGGAGGCAGCAGUGGGGAAUAUUGCACAAUGGGCGCAAGCCUGAUGCAGCCAUGCCGCGUGUAUGAAGAAGGCCUUCGGGUUGUAAAGUACUUUCAGCAGUGAGGAAGGUGGGUAUGUUAAUAGCAUAUUCAUUUGACGUUAGCUGCAGAAGAAGCACCGGCUAACUCCGUGCCAGCAGCCGCGGUAAUACGGAGGGUGCGAGCGUUAAUCGGAAUUACUGGGCGUAAAGCGCAUGCAGGUGGUUUGUUAAGUCAGAUGUGAAAGCCCGGGGCUCAACCUCGGAAUUGCAUUUGAAACUGGCAAACUAGAGUACUGUAGAGGGGGUAGAAUUUCAGGUGUAGCGGUGAAAUGCGUAGAGAUCUGAAGGAAUACCGGUGGCGAAGGCGGCCCCCUGGACAGAUACUGACACUCAGAUGCGAAAGCGUGGGGAGCAAACAGGAUUAGAUACCCUGGUAG
rnacentral:rRNA from 1 species